AUUCCAGCUCCAAUAGCGUAUAUUAAAGUUGUUGCAGUUAGAACGCUCGUAGUCGGAUUUCGGGGCGGGCCGACCGGUCUGCCGAUGGGUACGCACUGGUCGGCGCGUCCUUCCUUCCGGAGACCGUGCCUACUCUUAACUGAGCGGGGGCGGGAGACGGAUCGUUUACUUUGAAAAAAUCAGAGUGUUUCAAGCAGGCAGCUCGCUCUUGCAUGGAUUAGCAUGGGAUAAUGAAAUAGGACUCUGGUGCUAUUUUGUUGGUUUCGAACACCGGAGUAAUGAUUAACAGGGACAGUCAGGGGCACUCGUAUUCCGUCGAGAGAGGUGAAAUUCUCAGACCAAUGGAAGACGAACCACUGCGAAAGCAUUUGCCAGGGAUGUUUUCAUUG
rnacentral:rRNA from 1 species